rnacentral:rRNA from 1 species
GACAGAGGGGGCAAGCGUUGCUCGGAAUUACUGGGCGUAAAGGGCGCGUAGGCGGGAUGGCAAGUCGGUCGUGAAAUCCCUCGGCUCAACCGAGGAACGUCGAUCGAUACUGCUGUUCUUGAGGAUUGCAGAGGAGACUGGAAUUCCCGGUGUAGCGGUGAAAUGCGUAGAGAUCGGGAGGAACACCGGUGGCGAAGGCGGGUCUCUGGGCAAUUCCUGACGCUGAGACACGAAAGCGUGGGUAGCAAACAGG